GGUCUCGUUGGUCCCACGGAUGAAGGUCAUUGGUCGUUGGUUCACCUCUUCCGCACGGUUGGUCUCGUUGUCCGUCGGUCGUUGGAGUGCGGUUCGGUGUGUGUGGAGGGAGCGACGGGAAAGGAGCCAGUGCUAUGCUGUACAGAGCAUGAAGACGCUAUAGCAAGUACCCCGACUCUGCACUUUUGUCGGUCUCGUUGGUCCCACGGAUGAAGGUCGUUGGUCGUUGGUUCACCAGUUCCGCACAGUUGGUCGUUGGUCCGUCAAGUGUGUGUGCAGUUCGGGCGUGUGCAGAUUAGGCGACGGGAACGGAGCCAGUGCUAGCAGCCUCGGAGACAUGGCGGCAUGGACACGCGGUACAGCACGUCCUGAUUAACACGAGCUUUUUGCUGGGGCAUUAAGUGACUAGCCAUCCUGGAGGGUAGGAUAAAGUCCGGACGGUUCCCGAAUACAUCAGGCAAUAGGAGUGCCUGGUCGAAUGGCUGAACCCAACGCCCCUCAUGACAGUUGUCGUGGGUUGCGUCGGCACCGCGCGAGCCGUUCCUCGGUACCUGUAACCGGAACCUCCUUCGAACCUCCGACGAUCAGAUACCGUCGUAGUUCCAACCAUAAACGAUGUCAACUAGUGAUCCGGCGGCGUUAUUCCCAUGACCCGCCGAGGAACUGCCCGGGAAACCAAAGUCUUUGGAUUCCGGGGGGAGUAUGGUUGCAAAGCUGAAACUUAAAGGAAUUGACGGACGGGCACCACCAGGAGUGGAGCUUGCGGCUUAAUUUGACUCAACACGGGAAACCUCACCCGGCCCGGACACGGAAAGGAUUGACAGAUUGAUGGCUCUUUCUCGAUACCGUGGGUGGUGGUGCAUGGCCGUUCGUAGUUGGUGGAGCGAUUUGUCUGGUUAAUUCCGGCAACGAACGAGAUUCUAACGGACUAAAUAAUUACGCGGCCCCGUUGCGUUCGGCGUCCGAACUUCUUAGAGGGACAAGUGGCGGAGAGCCACACAAGAGUGAGCAAUAACAGGUCUGUGAUGCCCUUAGAUGCCUUGGGCUGCACGCGUGCCACACUGAGCCGAUCAGCGUGCCCGUCCCCCCUGCGCCGACAGGCGUGGGUAACCCACUGAACCCCGCUCGUGAUGGGGAUUGGGGAUUGCAAUUGUUUCCCAUGAACGAGGAAUUUCCAGUAAGCACGGGUCACAAGCUUGUGUUGAUUAAGUCCCUGCCCUUUGUACACACCGCCCGUCGCUACUACCGAUUGGAUGGCUUAGUGAGGUCCUUGGAUCGGUCCCGCGGGGGCUUUCGGGCCUCCGUGUGCGGGCCGAGAAGACGAUCGAACUUGACUAUCUAGAGGAAGUAAAAGUCGUAACAAGGUUUCCGUAGGUGAACCUGCGGAAG
rnacentral:rRNA from 1 species